rnacentral:rRNA from 1 species
CGGGUGAGUAACACGUGAACAACCUGUCCUCACGUUCCGAAUAAUUGGGAGAAAUCCCUUGUAAUGCGGGCGAGGAUCCUGGACCUGCAUGGGUCAUGGGAGGGAACGCGCAAGCGGCGCGAGGAGGGGUUCGCGGCCUAUCAGUUUGUUGGUGAGGUAACGGCUCACCAAGGCGACGACGGGUAGCCGGCCUGAGAGGGCGACCGGCCACACUGGGACUGAGACACGGCCCAG